rnacentral:rRNA from 1 species
GAUGAACGCUAGCUGCAGGCUUAACACAUGCAAGUCGAGGGGUAACGAGAGGAAAGCUUGCUUUCCUUGUCGACGACCGGCGCACGGGUGAGUAACGCGUAUCCAACCUGCCCCCAACUAGGGAAUAACCUUGCGAAAGUAAGACUAAUACCCUAUAAUUUCCUCAGAUGCCAUCUGACGAGGAAUAAAGAUUUAUCGGUUGUGGAUGGGGAUGCUUCUGAUUAGCUUGUUGGCGGGGUAACGGCCAACCAAGGCAACGAUCAGUAGGGGUUCUGAGAGGAAGGUCCCCCACAUUGGAACUGAGACACGGUCCAAACUCCUACGGGAGGCAGCAGUGAGGAAUAUUGGUCAAUGGGCGGAAGCCUGAACCAGCCAAGUAGCGUGCAGGAUGACGGCCCUAUGGGUUGUAAACUGCUUUUAUACAGGAAUAAAGUUAGCCACGUGUGGUUAUUUGUAGGUACUGUAUGAAUAAGGACCGGCUAAUUCCGUGCCAGCCGCCGCCGUAA